UACGUAGGGUGCGAGCGUUGUCCGGAAUUACUGGGCGUAAAGAGCUCGUAGGUGGUUUGUCGCGUUGUCCGUGAAAUUCCCUGGCUUAACUGGGGGCGUGCGGCGAUACGGGCAGACUGGAGUACUGCAGGGGAGACUGGAAUUCCUGGUGUAGCGGUGGAAUGCGCAGAUAUCAGGAGGAACACCGGUGGCGAAAGGCGGGGUCUCUGG
rnacentral:rRNA from 1 species